GGUGUUAUAUAAGGUUGCAGUUCGACCGAUUCUAUCACAUUCUUCUAGCAUCGUCUGACCGGUACACGACUUGCCACAGAUUCUCUCCACUCAAGUCCUCUACAAAUCAAAAUGAAGCUUCAAUUCGCCAUAGUCUUCCUCGUGUUUCUAGUCCUCCAUCAGAACGAGGCCGAGCGCAUCCCCAGUAACGUCCGGGAACUUAUAAAUCAAGACGACUCCGUCCCAGAAUUCCUGAAGAAAUUAUGUCCCGACGGUGACUACAAACUAUGCAUUGAAAUGGCAAGGAAAAGAGGAAUGGAGCUACCGAACGAAGCAGGGAACAAGAGGUGUAUGUUCGGCAAUUACAGGGUCUGUUAGAGCACAAAGAACUUACUAAUUUCAUUUCAAAGGGAAGCUAUAAACUAUGGCACUGAUGUAUUCUAAAGGGAAUUAAAGGAAUCUGUUAAAUUGAAUUGUGAAAAGUAAAACUGCUAAAACAUUAAGUGUUAAGCUUGAUAUUUCAAAGUGUCAAACUGAUUAAAUGUCAA